rnacentral:rRNA from 1 species
CUACGGGGGGCAGCAGUGGGAAUAUUGGACAAUGGGGGAAACCCUGAUCCAGCGAUGCCGCGUGAGUGAUGAAGGCCUUCGGGUUGUAAAGCUCUUUUAGCAGGGAAGAUUAUGACGGUACCUGCGGAAUAAGCACCGGCUAACUUCGUGCCAGCAGCCGCGGUAAUACGAAGGGUGCUAGCGUUGUUCGGAAUAACUGGGCGUAAAGGGCGUGUAGGUGGUUUGAAAAGUGAGAUGUGAAAUCCCUGGGCUUAACCUGGGAAUGGCAUUUCAUACUGGCGAACUAAGUGUGCGAGAGGGGAAAAUGGAAUGGCGAGCGGAGCAGUGAAAUGCGUUGAUAUUCGUUGGAACAUCAGAGGCGAAGGCGAUUUUCUGGCUCGUUACAGACACUGAGGCGCGAAAGCGUGGGGAGCAAACAGGAUUAGAUACCCUAGUAGUC